rnacentral:lncRNA from 1 species
CUUCUCCGUUUGUAUCAUCAGCAAAUGGUGUUAUACGUUUAAAGGUAAACCCUUCUCCGUUUGUAUCAUCAGCAAAUGGUGUUAUCCGUUUAAAAGGUAAACCCUUCUCAAUUUGUAUCAUCAGCAAAUGGUGUUAUACGUUUAAAAGGUAAACCCUUCUCCGUUUGUAUCAUCAGCAAAUGGUGUUAUACGUUUAAAGGUAAGUAGAGUAGAAUAAAAAUAUAUAUACAUAAAGUUGUUUCUUUUGUCAACUAAUGAUCGAUCAAAUUUUAUAAAAACAACUGUUUUUGAUAAAUUAAAUGAAGUUGGAAAAAAAUUCAGUCAACACUUAUAAUAGAAAGUAUUAGAUCAGUAAUUCCUAGUUGUCAGUUUCUAUGGUGAUAAUACAUUUAUUGUUGGUACAAGUAACACCAUUGAAUGUUAGCUUGUCAUAAUGUAUCUUAGCAAUAGGCUAGAUGAUCACCCUUAGCAACCCGUGAGAAAUUACAACAGUAGGUCUGUAGUUAGAGCUUUGAUAUAAUAUAGCUGUAACUUGUCAGAUUCAAGUUUAAAGACAUGCAUUUAUUUAUUAUUUGUUAAACAAACCUAAACAGAUUUUAUGAAUGGAAAAUGUGGACAUUUGAUGACUGUUUGGUCGAUAUAUAUUUAUGUACGUUAUUUGGAAUGAACCUCCAUAUAUUGCAUUACUGUUUCACAUUUUUAACUUGUUAUAACGCUGUGAGUGUAAAAAUAGGUUUGGUUCAUUUCACAUUUUUUUAAUUGUCAAAAAGUUGAAUAAUCAAAAAAGCUUUAACGACUUUACAGAGUUUUUAUUAAAACUUAUUUCUAUGCAGUUAUAAUAAACACUUCAAUACAUAAAGAGAGUAACCCCUUUAAUGAAAACUAAUCAAAAUUAUAUUUAAAACAGUGUGUGAUAAUGUAAAUACCAAGUGUUCGCCUUGAUGAGUGCUAUUUUAUGAUUUGUUCAAGGAAAGAUGAUCAGCUUUUAUAAAAUGUGACACAUCGUAGCAAAAAGAAUCAAUUCAACAACCUGGUUCAGUGUUUUAUAUUCUAGACACGUUAACUGGUAUACUGCAUGCAUAUAAUGUACAAAAAAAUAAUAAUACUCCUUGCUAUAUUAUAGGACUUAGCCAGAAGACAGUUUUUAUAGUAACUAUUUAACUGGGAUUGUUGUCAUUAGAUUAGUAAAUAUUUAGAUACUUGUGUAGACUGAGAGGUUGUGAUUGUACAAUAAAAAAUAUAUUUUAGAA